CUCCAAGGAAACAAGCUAAGAGUCUUGUGACUUCGGUUCCUUCCGAACAUGGAAUUUCCCUUGGAGUGCUUUGGAGUUCCUCCCAGGUAACAGAUAUGGAUGAAAUCUCCUGACGGGCAUCAGUGAAUUUUGCCUGUUGAUUGUCCAAAAGCAGGCAGAGGAAAGGCUCCCCUACUUUUACAGAACAUUUUCAAGUAGUGAUUUUUGGUCACUGUAGAAGCUGCCACCAUGUACGCUAAUUGAGGACGCGUAUCUCCUCCGCGUUUCCAACUGAGAAGAAAUGCCAAUGGAGACAUCUGGGAAAUAAAGAAAUAUCAAGUUUAGAUUUCAAGUGGUGACAAAAUGAAGAUGUCACUAAUGCCCAGUGGAAGGCUGGCUCAUUACUCUUCUCUCCACUCACUUCCCCCUGGGCUCCGUUUUCUGCCUCCGCACCUGAGACUCAUGGUGAACAGCAAGAAUUUGCUUUUCAGAACCAUGGACAGCAGCUGGCAAGCAGCCUAGACGCCAGAGGGAGCCAGAUGAGGGGCAUGCACACAACUAAACAAAUAUUGACUGAGUACAUCCAGGGGCCAGCCGAGCUAGAUAACACCGAGAUUUGUAUUAUCCUGACCUUCAAAAACUUAAAUUUCUUCAAGUCAUCAACAUUCUUAGAUCGACAAAGCUGGAUCGGGGGCCCAUGCCUCCUGAUACUUACAAAGUAGAGAGCCCAAAGGAAAGUGA